rnacentral:rRNA from 1 species
CUCGGUGGCCAUGGCGGAGGGGAUCACCCGUUCCCAUUCCGAACACGGAAGUUAAGCCCUCCAGCGCCGAUGGUACUGCCCGGGGGACCGGGUGGGAGAGUAGGUCGCCGCCGGAA